rnacentral:tRNA from 1 species
GUCUUGAUAGUUUAUAUAAAAUAUUAUAUUGUGGUUAUAAAGAAGAAACAUUCUCAAAACA